rnacentral:rRNA from 1 species
AUUGAACGCUGGCGGUAGGCCUUACACAUGCGAGUCGAACGAGUUGCGGACGGGUGAGUAAUGUCUGGGAAACUGCCCGAUGGAGGGGGAUAACUACUGGAAACGGUUGCUAAUACCGCAUACCAUCGGAUCUGCCCAGAUGGGAUUAGCUAGUUGGGGGGGUAACGGCUCACCAAGGCGCCGAUCCCUAGCUGGUCUGAGAGGAUGACCAGCCACACUGGAACUGAGCCACGGUCCAGACUCCUACGGGAGGCAGCAGUGGGGAAUAUUGCACAAUGGGCGCAAGCCUGAUGCAGCCAUGCCGCGUGUAUGAAGAAGGCCUUCGGGUUGUAAAGUACUUUCAGCGGGGAGGCGUUACUCGCAGAAGAAGCACCGGCUAACUCCGUGCCAGCAGCCGCGGUAAUUC